AUUGAACGCUGGCGGCAGGCCUAACACAUGCAAGUCGAACGGUAGCACAGAGAGCUUGCUCUCGGGUGACGAGUGGCGGACGGGUGAGUAACGUCUGGGAAACUGCCCGAUGGAGGGGGAUAACUACUGGAAACGGUAGCUAAUACCGCAUAACGUCGCAAGACCAAAGUGGGGGACCUUCGGGCCUCACACCAUCGGAUGUGCCCAGAUGGGAUUAGCUAGUAGGUGGGGUAGUGGCUCACCUAGGCGACGAUCCCUAGCUGGUCUGAGAGGAUGACCAGCCACACGGGAACUGGGACACGGUCCAGACUCCUACGGGAGGCAGCAGUGGGGAAUAUUGCACAAUGGGCGCAAGCCUGAUGCAGCCAUGCCGCGUGUAUGAAGAAGGCCUUCGGGUUGUAAAGUACUUUCAGCGGGGAGGAAGGCGGUGAAGUUAAUAACUUCACCGAUUGACGUUACCCGCAGAAGAAGCACCGGCUAACUCCGUGCCAGCCGCCGCCGUAA
rnacentral:rRNA from 1 species